rnacentral:lncRNA from 10 species
UUGAGAAAUGCUGUCUGAAGGAAUGAAGUCAGUCUAUGACAACGUCUCUCUGCCGUGAAUCAUUCCUGCAGAUGAAAAAGUGUGACUUGGCAGCUGAUGGAGUCUCGCUCUGUCACCCAGGCUGGAGUGCAGUGGCGCAAUCUCGGCUCACUGCAAGCUCCGCCUCCCAGGUUCAUGCUAUUCUCCUGCCUCAGCCUCCUGAGUAGCUGGGACUACAGGCGCCCGCCACCACACCCGGCUAAUUUUUUAUAUUUUUAGUAGAGAUGGGGUUUCACCAUGUUAGCCAGGAUGGUCUUGAUCUCCUGACCUUAUGAUCCGCCCUCCUUGGCCUCCCAAAGUGUUGGGAUUGCAAGGCGUGAGCCACUGCGCCCAGCCUCCAGGCCUCAGUUUUCUUAUGUGUAAAUGGGGAUGAUAAAACCCGGACCUGCCUAUGAACGGUUCAGUUGGAUCAAAGUAGAAUGAGUGCAGAAGAAGAAGCAUGAUUUGUAAAAGAUGGUACAAAAGCUAGUAUUUUAAAAGGUGUUUUACAAAGC